UGCCGGAAAUACUCGGCAUCAUUCGGCUUCUACGUGACCCAUGUUCAAGUCGGCCGGCAGGCAAGGCGUUCCCACGUCAACCUUUUCCAACGGAGAAAUGAUAUUAUACUAUGCCUCUCCACGGGACUGCAUGGCCCUCCUUCCACGUGCUUCUUGCCGGCAGUAUGAUAAAUACACACUCCCAUUUUAAAAGAUUAAUCUCCAUGCACGCUGUAAGAAAAACCUUCAUCUUUUUUUCAGAACCUUUAUGAUUUCUCUAAUGCUUGAUGGCAUUAUCUUGCUAUAUCAUUUUUUUUUUUAUUUGUAAGCGCUGGGACCAAGUGUACCUGACACCAGGAACUGCACUCUUGCUCAUGUGUCCUCCGUAAAACCUCAUCAAAGAUUUCUGACCUCUGCAUGGGUUACUGGU
rnacentral:lncRNA from 1 species